rnacentral:lncRNA from 1 species
UCUGAAUAAAGCAGCAGACACUGGCUGAAGCACACCGGAACAAGAGCAAAGGUUAGGCAAAGCACCUGGAACCUCUGAGAUUGGCAUGUAGUGCCUUGACCCAAGUAGAUAAAAAGAAAAAUAACCUCCUUACUACUGCAUCCCCUAAGGGGUGGAGUAAGGAGAGACCCCACUGAGCCUCCUCUCUCCGGGGAAGUUCUCUAUCUCCCUAUGUCUCUUCACUGGCACCUAACUAAAUGUUCCCCACUUACUGCUGGUGGGGUAUGAGAUCUAGUGAGUCUUGUUCUGAAGUGUCUCCUAUCCAGGGCUAUUUCAGCCUACAAGUUUGACACACGCGAGUCGACUGGCUUUGACCUGAGAAGCAAGUGAUCACUGAAAUAUAAAGUUCGUGCAGGAGUGAACUCUGGUUCCUGACAGACGGAACUCAAGAACUUGAAGUCAUAAAAACAGAAUGACAGUCGCCAAAGACUGGGUGUGGCUGGAGGGAAACUGUUGGUCAAAGAGGAGACAACUGCAGGCCGAAAGGAAACAUGAAUUUUGAGAUCUGAUGCACAGUGGGGUGACCAUUGUGUAUUUCAAAAUUACUAAACAAGUACAUUUCACGUGUCUUGCUACAAAAGUGAUAAGCAUGGAGACAGGUUGCAUCAGUUAAAAGCACACACGCUCCAGCCGUCCCCAGCACUCACUUUAAUACCAGCUCCUGGUGAACCUAUGUCCAUUUCUGUGGUUACCUGCCCUCACACACAGAAAUGUGCAUGUGUGCAUGCAUGGGAACACACACACACAAUUAAGAUUCAAAUAAUAGAGCCGGGUGUGGUGGCGCACGCCUUUAUUCCCAGCACUCAGGAGGCAGAGGCAGGCGGAUUUCUGAGUUCGAGGCCAGCCUGGUCUACAAAGUGAACUCCAGGAUAGCCAGGGCUAUACAGAGAAACCCUGUCUCGAAAAACCAAAACAACAACAAAAAAAGAUUCAAGUAAUAAUAAGCUGGAUGGCGGCUGGUGAGAUAGCUCAGUGGUUAAGAGCACUGGCUGCUCUUCCAGAGAACCCAGGCUCAAUUCUCAGCAUGGCUCCAGUUCCAGGGAAUCUGACACCCUCAUAUAGACAUAAAUGCAGACAAAAUGUCAAUGCACCAAAUAAAUAAAUAAAUAAAUAAAUAAAUAAAUAAACAAAUAAAUAAAUAGUGAGCUGGGUGGUGGUGGCACAUGCCUUUAAUGCAAGCACUUGAGUUCAAGGCCAGCCUGGUCUACAGAGAGAGUUCCAGGACAGCCAGGAAUACACAUGCCCUGUCUUGAAAAACCAAUAAAAAGAGGGGGGAGGGGAGGGGCUUUAAAAUAAUAAAUCUUUUUUUAAUAAUAAGCAUGCCAGGUGUUAUUAGAUAUAUGCUGUAAUGUGACUUUGUUUGUUUGAGAAGAUAAUAACAAAGACUAACACUUUUUACAAUUUAGUGGCAUGAUAGCUACAGAAUUAUCAUCGUAUAUGUCUUUGUCAGGGUUUCUAUUCCUGCACAAACAUCAUGACCAAGAAGCAAGUUGGGGAGGAAAAGAUCUAUUCAGCUUACAUUUCCACAUUGCUGUUCAUCACCAAGGAAGUCAGGACUGGAACUCAAGCAGGUCAGGAAGCAGGAGCUGAUGCAGAGGCCAUGGAGGGAUGUUCCUUACUGGCUUGCUUCCCCUGCCUUGCUCAGCUUGCUUUAUUAUAGAACCCAGGACUACCAGCCAAGGGAUGGCACCACCCACUAAUUGAGAAAAUGCCUUACAGCUGGAUCUCAUGGAAGCAUUUCAUCAAGGGAGGCUCCUUUCUCUGUGAUAACUCCAGCUUGUGUCAAGUUGACACACCAAACCAGCCAGUACAAUGUAUCUCAAUAUUUAUGGUCUGUGGUGAUGCUGGCAGAAAGAAACCUACUGUGCUAUGUGUCCCAUGAUGUUGUAGUACAUUCCUGAGAUAUGGCUCCAUGGUACAGCAUUUGUCAAUCAAGCCUAUGAUCCUGGUUCCAUUCCCAGCUUCACAAAAAAGAAAACAAAUAUAUACAUAUAUACACACAUACAUACAUAUAUCAUAUACAAUCAUGCUCCAUAUCUAAAACCUGAUAAUGACAGAAAUGAUUGUGUCUGGUCCAUGUGUUUAAUAUACUACAUGUUUUAUUGAAAGAUCCUGACAGAAUGUAAAAGGUCACAGGAGCCCUGAAAUUGGCAAAAUAGAUUUCAUUGUUAGCAGAACUAGCUUCACUGAUUUAGAAAAAUAGAGAUGCACAAUGCUCUGGCCACUCCGAGAACCCGUGUGUCUGCCAAUGUUCUGACCAUUCCUUGAACCCAUGUGUGUGCCCACUGCUGAAGUCCACUGCCAGGUGUUUGUGAUAUUGGUUGCUGGGGAAGAGUCAGAAAAUCUCCCCAGCAACCACAGCCGGGGCCAAUCCGGAGUUGCUACACCUGCACCAAACUCUUUCCUUGUACCCCUCCCAUAACCAUUUCUUGAGAAUAGAUAUUGUUUAGAUCGGGAAAGCCCCUACUCCCCCCUUCUCCUUUCCCCCCUGAGGGCCUAUAAAAACUGGGACCUCUUUCCCCUCGGGGUCGACUCCUCUACCCCUGCGUGGGAUAUGAGUCGCCCCCAGAGCUCUGGCUUUCCCCAAAUAAAGCCUCGUGUGGUUUGC